rfam:Sulfurospirillum deleyianum DSM 6946, complete genome.
AAGGUGUAGCAGGUGAUUGCUUGGGCACUCACGCUCAAGAGGAAAGUCCGGGCUGCAUGUGAGACAUGGUUCCGCCUAACGGACGGCUAGGGUAACCUAAGGGACAGUGCAACAGAAAGUAAACUACCAUUCUGUCGCCCUUGCGAAAGCAUAGCUUUCGUGAGAUAAAUGGAAGAUGAGCUUUGCUUGUCUCUAAAAAGACAGUUUAAUGGAAAAGGUGAAACGGCGGGGUAAGAGCCCACCAGCGCUUUGAGUAAUCAUCGCGGCUAUGUAAACCCAACCUGCAGCAAGAAGGGAUGGUUUUGGUCUCACACACGAUAAACCCUUCGCUAGAGGCUUACUGUAAAGUAAGCAGUAGAUAAAUAAUCACCCAACGACAGAACCCGGCUUAUCGCUACACCUUUUGA